UACGGGGGGGGCAAGCGUUGUUCGGAAUUACUGGGCGUAAAGGGCUCGUAGGCGGCCAACUAAGUCGGACGUGAAAUCCCCAGGCUCAACCUGGGAACUGCGUCCGAUACUGGAUGGCUUGAAUCCGGGAGAGGGAUGCAGAAUUCCAGGUGUAGCGGUGAAAUGCGUAGAUAUCAGGAGGAACACCGGUGGCGAAGGCGGGUCUCUGGGCCGUAACUGACGCUGAGGAGCGAAAGCAUGGGGAGCGAACAGG
rnacentral:rRNA from 1 species